AAGUUUGAAAUUACUUAUUACAUUCUUGGCAAUUUACCUAAACGCAUCAAAUUUAUCCAUCCGUUGGUGCAAGGAAAGGAAAGUAAAGUAGGCGGGGGCAGCAUAAAACAGGUAGUAAAAUCCAAUGCUGCGGCAUAUUCCCGCCAAAUGACGCAGCACCAAACACACUUACCCGCGCCACGUGGCUGGGCCCCGCCUCCUUUCACCACCGCCUCUCAACAAACCCGCUGCGCCAUCUAUCUUCUCUCGGAUUUCGCUCUCUCCGUCUCCGUCGUCCCCCAUUAUGUCCAACACCCUCGAUCCCCUCUCUGCCCUCCGUUGCUCUAAGGAUGAUGAGUACAAACACAAAUCAGAUCCUGAGAACUUAGAGGAAAAUAUGAAAUCUGGAGUUCUCAGAAAAGCAAAAAAUGUAUCUAGUAAGUUCAGGAGCUCUCUAAGAAACAAGAUCAAGAGGAAAAAUGAUACUGGCAUUUGUAACAUUGAAGAUAUGCAUGAAAUCCAGGAUCACAAGGCUGUCGAUGCUUUUCGGCAGGCACUGGUAAUGGAUAGUUUACUUCCUACGAGAUUUGAUGAUUAUCACGUUAUGUUGAGAUUUCUGAAAGCAAGGAAGUUCAACAUCAAUAAGGCAAAGAUCAUGUGGGCAAACAUGCUUGAAUGGAGAAAGAAUUUUGGUGCUGAUACAAUCAUGGAGAAAAAUGGAAAUCUUCAUUUAGCAGAGAGGCAAAAUUAUGUACUUUUUGCAAGACUGGGCAUGGAUUCUGGGACAGGGUGGCUUAGAGUCUUUUCAACUUGUUAUCAGGACUUUAACUUCAAAGAGUUGAAUGAAGUUCAACAAUAUUAUCCUCAUGGUUACCAUGGUGUUGACAAGGAUGGACGACCUGUAUACAUAGAGAGGUUGGGUAUGAUUGAUGUUGAUAUGCUACUGCAGGUCACAAAUGUGGACAGAUUUGUAAAAUAUCAAGUCCAGGAGUUUGAGAAAAGUCUUGCCAUAAGAUUUCCUGCAUGUUCAGUUGCUGCAAACAAGCACAUAGAUACAAGUACAACAAUUUUGGAUGUUCAAGGAUUGAAUUUAAUGAGUCUGACUGGCCCUGUUGUCGAAUUUAUUAAAGUGGUUCAGAAGGUUGAUAACGACAAUUAUCCUGAAACACUUUCCCGAAUGUUUAUUAUCAACGCUGGUCCUGGCUUUAGGAUGAUAUGGAAUGUGGUCAAACCUAUACUUGAUCCUGAAACAACUUCAAAAAUUCAGGUGCUUGGAAGUAAUUACCAGAGAAAGUUGCUUGAAGUAAUUGAUGGAAGUGAGCUACCAGAGUUCUUUGGUGGUUGCUGUACCUGUGCAAUUGAAGGGGGCUGUUUGAGGUCUGAUAAAGGACCAUGGAAGGACCAAAAUUUAUUGAAGGUGAAAAGAUGACUCCAACUGCAGAAGUGCAUCAUGUGCAGACAGCAUCAAUUUCAGAUAAUGAUGGAACUUAGUUGUCAAGGUUGAUAUUUUGUUGCGUCGGAUGUACUGUGCGGGCAAAUCAACAGUGAAGAACAACCGGAUGAACUAUGCUGGAUUAUCCGAGGGUGCUUGCCGAUCACUUGGACGCAAGUAGACAUGUUGAUAAUAAAUGGUUGGGAACUUCCCCUGAAUUGUUAAGAAUGAGGGAAUGUAUGCGCCAUUAUUGCAAUCAGGGAUCUAUUUAAUCUUUGUGCAACUAGCAUUUGUCAAUGAUUACUAUGAAAAAUAUGAUUCAGAUUGUAUGAUUCACUGAUGCGGCGAAAUGUUUAUGAUACCUUUGCCUUGCA